rnacentral:rRNA from 1 species
AUGAGCAUCAUGUAUGAGAAGAUCAAUGUUACGGGAGAAACUUCUAUGAUGCCAGGUUGUGAGCAUGAAGUGCUUGAUCUUGAAGAAGAUGAAACUGAGGAGGAAGAAGUGCAGACUACCCAAGCCAAGAAGGCAAAGAAGGGGCCAUGGAAGAUAGAUGGAAGCUCUAGUAAAAAGAAUCAUGUUCAAAGGGACUUCAAGCACAUGGUUGACCACUUGAUUAGUGAAGAUGUUGCGAUGAACUCACAUAAGAAUAGUGUUGCUAUUGAAAUUGAAAAGAUUAUGGAAGAAGUUCUGGCAUGUGGAGCCGAUGAAACAAGUGAUGAGUACUUCAUAGCAACCAAGUUGUUUGCGAAGUUUGAAAAUCGUUGUUUCUUUAACAAUAUGAAGACUAGUGAAGGGAAGAAGAAUUGGCUUAGGAGGAUGUAUGAAGAGUGA